UCCGGUUUGACACCGGCAGUCCCGCUAGAGUGCGCGCCCCGAAGGACGGUAGCAACUAGAGGCAGGGGUUUCGCUCGUUAGAGGACUUAACCCGACACUUCACAGCACGAGCUGACGACAGCCAUGCAGCACCUGUGCACGUUCCAUCUUGCGAUGUCAGUCCCUUUUCGGGGACCUAAUCCGUGCAUGUCAAGCCUUGGAUAAGGUUCUUCGCGUUGCUUCGAAUUGAGCCACAUGCUCCACCGCUUGUGUGAGCCCCCGUCAAUUCCUUUGAGUUUUAGCCUUGCGACCGUACUCCCCAGGCGGUGCACUAAGUGUUUUUACUUCGACCCUGCUGGCGUCAGAGCCCUCAAGGUCUAGUGCACAUCGUUUACGGCGUGGACUAC
rnacentral:misc_RNA from 1 species